UACGUAGGGGGGCGAGCGUUGUCCGGAUUUAUUGGGCGUAAAGAGCGUGUAGGCGGCCAGGUAGGUCUGCUGUGAAAACUCGAGGCUCAACCUCGAGACGUCGGCGGAAACCAUCUGGCUAGAGUCCGGAAGAGGAGAGUGGAAUUCCUGGUGUAGCGGUGAAAUGCGCAGAUAUCAGGAAGAACACCCGUGGCGAAGGCGGCUCUCUGGGACGGUACUGACGCUGAGACGCGAAAAGCGUGGGGGAGCAAACAGG
rnacentral:rRNA from 1 species